AGCGAACGCUGGCGGCAGGCCUAACACAUGCAAGUCGAACGAACUCUUCGGAGUUAGUGGCGGACGGGUGAGUAACACGUGGGAACGUGCCUUUUGGUUCGGAAUAACUCAGGGAAACUUGUGCUAAUACCGAAUGUGCCCUUCGGGGGAAAGAUUUAUCGCCAUUAGAGCGGCCCGCGUCUGAUUAGCUAGUUGGUGAGGUAACGGCUCACCAAGGCGACGAUCAGUAGCUGGUCUGAGAGGAUGACCAGCCACACUGGGACUGAGACACGGCCCAGACUCCUACGGGAGGCAGCAGUGGGGAAUCUUGCGGAAUGGGCGAAAGCCUGACGCAGCCAUGCCGCGUGAAUGAGGAAGGUCUUAGGAUUGUAAAAUUCUUUCACCGGGGACGAUAAUGACGGUACCCGGAGAAGAAGCCCCGGCUAACUUCGUG
rnacentral:rRNA from 1 species